UCAGAGUAUGAAAAUGUCGAUACAAUUUGUCAUGAAUAACUUAAAUUUCAAGAUUUUCGCGUAUAAAAUUAUGACACGCGCUGUGUGUGCGGCGGCGUAAUUCGCUACUCGUAUAGCCGUCUUGCUUCUUCUUGUAUGUGCUUUACCGUUGCUCACCGCUUCAAGAACAUUGCUGCUCACACACACGUCAGUCUGUGGCAAACAAUUGGAGGGGGAGGAUGUGUCGGUUUGCUCCAGAAAUCGUGUGUGAUUUUGGUGUUCUGGAUUUGGUUCCAUCGCUGUUUGUUUUGGUGAAUUUGAAAAGGUAAGAAUCAUUAACCGAUGUAAAAGUGUGAGAGUAAGAUGAUGCUGAUGGUGACUGAUGCUUUUCUUUGUUUCUUUUCCUGCUUUCAUCCACUGAUGGUGUCGAGCAUCGCCGAGGAUGUGAUCGAAUGCGGAAUAUUCGAAACGAGGAGAUUCAUUCCGGAUUUUGUUUCCAAUAAGCGCUGAACUAAUCCUCCAGCUUACAGGACGGCAAAGGUACACGCACAAACGUGCACACAUCAGCCUUCUCGGAGAACGAGAACACGGGAGGGGGAGACCGGCAACGUAUAGAACCUUUACGCUCCCUCGUGCGUUCGUGCGUGCGUGCGCGGAUGUGUGUGUAUGUGUGUGCAUGCCUGCGUGCGUGGCUGUGUGUGUUUUUGCCGCUUCGCAUAACGAGAUCCUACGGGAUCACCUUGCGAAAAACACCAAGAGAGGGGGAGGGGUAGGUAUGUGUGUAUGUGUGUGAGUAUGUGUGCUUGCAUGCGUGCGUGGCUGUGUAUGUGUGCUUGCAUGCGUGCAUGGCUGUGUAUGUGUGUGUAUGUGUGCUUGCAUGCGUGCAUGGUUGUGUAUGUGUGUAUGUGUGCUUGCAUGCGUGCGUGGCUGUGUAUGUGUGUGUAUGUGUGCUUUUGCUGUUUGGCGAUCUCCUACGGAAUCACCUUGCGAAAACACCUGGGGGGGGGGGGGGGGGAGGAGUGAGGUGUGUGUGUGCUUGCCUGCGUGCUUUGUGUGUGUGUUUUUGCGUUCACGUUCUACGGGAUCACUUUGCGAAAAACACCAAGGGGAGGAGGAGGUGUGUGUGUGUAUGUUUUUUUUUUCUUUGCCGAUUCGCACUCUCUCGCGGAUCUAGUUGUGUGCGUUAGUUUUUUUUUUUAGUUUCUUCGAAAAAUACCUGGGGGAGGAUGUGUGUAUGAAAGAAUGUACUUCAGAAAAGAAAGUGAAAAAUAAAAAACGAAUAUGAAAUAUGUUAAACGAA